GCCUGUUUAUCAAAAACAUGUCUUUUUGAAAAUAAUUUAAAGUCUAAUCUGCCCACUGAUAAAAUAUUGAAGGGCUGCAGUAUUUUGACUGUACAAAGGUAGCAUAAUCAUUAGUCUUUUAAUUAGUGACUUGUAUGAAGGAUUGGAUGAAAUAUAAACUGUCUCAAAAAUAAUUAAUUGAAAUUAAUUUUUUAAUUAAAAAGUUAAAAUAGAUUAAAAAGACGAGAAGACCCUAUAGAGUUUAAUAUUAAAUUAAAUUUAAAUCAUUUAUAAAUUUAUUUAUUUAUAAAUUUUAUUUAAUAUUUUGUUGGGGUGAUAAAAAAAUAAAAUAAACUUUUUUUAGUAAUAGCCAUAGAUAAGUGAUUAAAUGAUCCAAUUUUAUUGAUUAAAAGAAAAAAUUACCUUAGGGAUAACAGCGUAAUUUUUUUUUUUAGUUCUUAUAAGAAAAAAAGUUUGCGACCUCGAUGUUGGAUUAAGAUAAAAUUUAA
rnacentral:rRNA from 1 species